GCAGAAGUUUGAACCCUGUCUGGGAUUGAUGGUUUAUGAUUUCAUGGUGCUCCUCAGCAGCACAGUGAGGAACUCUCUUUCUAAACUACUGGAAUUAGAUCAGACGGGCUGUGAACUCUUCACUCACCUCCUCUUGCAGGACUCAGAAAGGAUCGUUUCUCAGCUUCAGGUUUCUUCUGUUGGAUUUUCCCAUCCAUAGUCCAGCACCACAUGUGCUCAUGCUGUGAGUCCACACCUGUAAUGACACCUGUGAGAAGAGUCCUUACACAAGCAGAUUGAUAACGCUAGAAGAAAAGGCAUCUUGAGAUAUUUCACAAGAUCAUUUAAAAGUUUUGACCUGCAGUGGAGAAAAAGACAAGGGGAUCACCAAAGUUAUAGGGAUUCAUUCUCUGGCGUCACAAAUACAAUACUCUUCAUCCCUCAACUGAUUCAGAUAAGGACAACUCCACCAAAAAACUUUAAUGGAGGAAAAAGUGAAUCAACUUAAGAAAGAGCAACAGAGGAGGAAUCUGUCUCACAGCACGGACAAAUGUGCCAUAGACUGCAGACAUCUGGGAGUUUUCUUACUUUCUUUGUUAUUGCUAAUCAAGAAAAAUCUAAAUUCUGCUGUGUGAAAAUAUGCACAAACUUCACAUAACUGUCUAAACUAAAUGUCAUGAUACUCCCAAUAGUUGUUGAGAUAUUUGAGUGUAGACUGAAACGUUUUCCAUCCCUAGAGCUGUGCUGCUGAUGUGGCUAAACAUACAUUAAUAGGCCUACACGUUUUUGUGUUAGCAUUUAGCCACUCACAAUCUAAUAUUUUCCCUGUGUGUUAUUAUGAAAAAAUAAAAGAUCUAAACACACAACAUCAAGACUUUUCUGUUUGAUGGUUCAGUCAUAAAAAAAUAACGAUCUUCUGGGCAACACUUUACAUAUCUGUUAUCAUCAGACAUUACUGCAACAAACCUUAAAAGAAACAGAUCUAGAAUGUAGCCUAUACUUAAUGUCACAUUGUUUUAAUAAUGAAAAACUGUUGUCUUACUUGUGGAAAAAAAGGUUGAGUUCCUACAGAAAAAAGACCUCUUUAAAUCCACAAGCUGUAUAACGGAAUCUCAGCUGACACAAAGACCACAUCAACAACUGAUAGAAGUAAGUGAUUGAUAAUAGAUUUACUGUAUUCUAUAGGACAUCUAAUCUUCUUGAUCUUUUUAUUUGUGUUCUACAGAUUUUGUUAUAAUUGCAUCUCAGAUGUGUGCGAUAUUGUCAUGUUUCUCUUCAGUUGAAGCUCCAUGACUAAAACGUUGAUCCUCUCAUAAACUUGUUGCUGACAGUUUGCAGGAAUUCAACCUUUUCUCUCACAUGGUUUCAUGUUCCUGAGCACCGGUCUACCAGGA